CCAACAACACCAACAACAUCUCAAAGGAAAACAAAGUAGUAGAAGAAUUAAUAAGUGAUAGCUUUGUUACAAGUCAAAAUUUCACUGUUUUACGGGCCAUAUAUAGCUUACUGUUUUUGAGUUUUCGAUCGAUUUUUCUGACCACGAGACCCUCGGCACACAAUUUUGUGCCUUCUUUCACCGGUCGAUAAAAAUCACCGAUUUGACCCCGGUGCACGAAGCCGUUUUUUGGACGCUCGACAAAAAUCACCUUUUGGCCGUUUUUGUGGGCCCAAGUUUUUUUGUUCUUCGGUCGAUUUGCCGAUGUCAUGACCCCAGUAUAUGGUUUCGGAUCGGUUAUGGCCUUUCUCGUGGACUAUAGCCCAUUUUGGGUUUUUGGCUGAUUUUUUUAUAUCGUCAUACCCGGUAUAUGGUUUCAAGCUGUUUUUGUCAUGUUAACAAAAAUUAUCGCUUGCCCAUUUUCGUGACCUAUAGGCCCCUGUUUUUGGGUUUUCGGUGGAUUUUACAAUAUAGUGACCCUCAGUACACAUUUUGGGUCAUUUUAGGCCGGUCACAGUUUUUAGAAAUACUAUACUCCCUCCGUUCCAAAAUAAGUGAUGUGGAUUUGUAUAGAUUCUUAUGCAAAUUCACGCCACUUAUUUCUGGACAGAGGGAGUAUGAAUUGGGCCAAGAAAUACUAUGUCACGUUAGUACUCCAAUAAGAUCGAUGCAGGUGGAGAGUAAAUAAGAAAUUGGAUCUCCCGAUCUUCGAUCGACGGACGCAUGGCGGGCGGUGGCGGCGACCGCCUUGGUUAGAUUACCGUUCAAUUUAUGUGACCGAAAAUCGUAUGGUGCCAAGUAUCUUGAAAGAAAAUAACCCCAUUGCCCAUAUGCAGCUACUGUAGAGUAAAGGAUGCUGUUGCAACUUGUAAGUGCUAGCAGCUCAUUUACUAAAUUCUACUCCCUUUGAUUCUAAAUUCUUGACUCAAAUUUGCCCAAAUAUGGAUGUAUCUAUUCUUAAAAAGCGUCUAGAUACAUGUAAUAUUUCGACAACAAUUUAGGAUCGGAGGGAGUAAUUUGCACCAGCUAAUUAACAACUUUCUACAUAUAUUUUGUGCUGCAGUAAUUAACCCAAGCCAAGAGUGUAUUCAUGAUUUUUACAGUUUCACUGCCUGUUUGUCACCCUCUUCAUCCACUUGACCACUUGCUUGUUAGCAGCACAGGAUACUGACGAUGCUUCAUCUCUCUUCUUUCCCCACAGCACAAGAUAGAGUCCCAGAAUCAUCAGUGCAGAUCCCAGCACGCUGUACAUGAAUGCCAAGGAAUAAUAGUUAAUUAACAAGCAGAAAUGAAAUGCUGUCACUACAAUUAAACCAUUAAUUUAGUUUAUACCGACUACCGAGCCAAGAUAUGGCAAGAAUGUAUUAUGUAGAUGUAUUCAGCUUGUGCAAUUAUACAAUGGUCACCGAAAGAAAAGAAAAGACAGGGACACUGAAGGGGAGUGUUAUAUAGAUCUGCUCUGGAUGAUGGGAUGAAGGCGGCAGUGAAGACCGGACCGUUCUUCUCUUCUCCACGCACCACGUCAUUGUCAGGACGGUGAGCAGCUGCAUGCUGGGCUAACUGCAGCAGCAGCAGAGUGCGUCAGUGGCACUCCGUUGUGCAGGCUCAGCAACAGCAAGCAAGCCAGCGAGCGAGAUUAGUGUCCCGGUGAUCUUUGCGGCUCCUGCCAUGCUCUUCACCUUCAGCGACUCCAUCCUGGGAUUCGAUGCAUCAACUGUUUGUUGCUAGCUCCCGGUGUGUAUAUAUUUGAUGGAUCACCGGGCACGACAACGAUGACAAGUAAGAAUGGCUUGAACGUGCUGUAACUAUGUGUACCUCGGCACGACGGCCGGCAAUGAUGAAGGGGAGCACGAGAGACAGGUUGAUUUGUGGCUGUAAAGGCUGCUGUUGAGCUGAGUGCUCCUCUGUACUGCUUCUUUCUUCUCUAAUAAAAUUCGGCCAUCGUCCCUAGGAAGAUUAUGCGAACGUCGAGAUGGUGUACGUACUGCAAGAGUGCAAAGUCAUGGAAGGAGGUGUACCAUGUAUUGCGAGAGCGUGGCGCCAAAAAGACAGCGCUGAAGAAGAGCAUGCCAGAGAGCGCGGCGCCCGAGACAAAGAUCUCCAUUGUGAGCUUGGGCCUUGUUUCUUUACCCCAAGCUUAUAUACACAUAAUAUGACAUGAUGCCAAAACUGUUAA